GCAGGAUCUCUCCGUGCAGACAACUCCAGGUGCCUUUUAGGCUUUCCAAAGAACUUUGGAGCUCAGAGCAUUGGGGUUCUCUUCCCCUUUCCCCCCAGAUAAAUUGUUAGAAGAAGAAAAAGAAUUAGAUGCAUCCAAACCCUAGCUGUGAGAGUGCAUGGUUUCUAGAAACUCAAGAAAAGGCCACAGCAGGUAGCAUCAUUUCCUGGAGAAGCUGAAGGCUUUGGGGGCUGAAAACAGUCUUCCCAGCUGAGUGGCUCAGGUCUUCUGCCCGGGGAUCCCCAAGAGCCCCGAGGGCUGCUUAGGACUCACCUUCUUCGCACAAACCCCACAGCUGCCGCCCUGGCUGCAGGCUGGCACGUUCACCAGCCUUCUGGACUCAAAGACUGUAGCUCACACACCUACUCUUUUUCCCAGAUAUUCCUCUGGCUCCUUGCAGAGGAAUUUUCUAAUUCUGUGUCUUGUGGUUCCCACAAGAAUUUCACAGCCGCCUAGGCGUUUUGAUGAGAAUUCAGCCUGUGGUCAUCACGAUGCUGGAAACUGACAGAGCGUGUGGCCUCAAAUACACCUGCUUUAAAGUGAAGGCCUAGGAGGUCGCCAAGAGGGGGUGUGGUCGUGGAAUCUGGCCAGGUCUGCCUUCGGGCAGCCUCUCCCCAUUGUCUGCCCUGGUCCAGCUCCCUCUCCAUCACCGGGAAGAGAUCAAAAGGCUUCCUUGCCAGGGUCGAAGGCUGUGUCUGUGCUCUUCCCAGGGGCAUGUGUGUUUUCUUGAGGAUAAGGCCUUAACAUUUAAGGGAAAUCGAGCAGCGGGACCAGGAGGCCUCAGCUCUUAUUCAGGUCUGGGAGGUAAUCUUGAGGCUUUGCUUUUCUGAGCACCUGCAAAAGCUUCUCAGAGGGGCUUGAGCGCCCAGCAGGGCAGCCUCCCCAGGGCUCCACGUGCACACGGAUUCUGUGCAG
rnacentral:lncRNA from 1 species